rnacentral:rRNA from 1 species
GUUCAUGGCUCAGGAUGAACGCUAGCGGCAGGCUUAACACAUGCAAGUCGAGGGGCAGCAUAAUGGAUAGCAAUAUCUAUGGUGGCGACCGGCGCACGGGUGCGUAACGCGUAUGCAACCUACCUUUAACAGGGGGAUAACACUGAGAAAUUGGUACUAAUACCCCAUAAUAUCAUAGAAGGCAUCUUUUAUGGUUGAAAAUUCCGAUGGUUAGAGAUGGGCAUGCGUUGUA